ensembl:lncRNA
AAAAGUAACCAAUACAUGAUAAAUAUCUGAGAACUGAAAAUCAAAUUUGUAAUUUUACAGUCACUCUUCAGCACUGGGUCUGUACUUAAGUAAAUUAUUUCACAUCAGUGUUUUUGGUUUUUAGGUCCUAAAUUAUUUUUCAGACAUUAAAAAUAACUCCACACUUAAUUUAAAGGGUCAUAUAAUGCUUUGAUUGUUUUCAUUUUCCUUUAGUGUGUAAUGUAUCUGUUUGUGUAAGAUCUUCAAAGUUACAAAGGUCAGAGUCUCCUGUAAAGUGAUUUAUUCUAUCUAACAGAGAACACUGAUCCAGAAAUGAUUAAAAUGCCUUGACUGAAGUCCAGAUAUUAAUUUCACAAAUGUCUGCGUCACAAUGUGAAAUAUUAGCGUAAUGCUGUUCAAAGGUUUACACAAAGAGAAGACGAGGCUUCAGUGAGUUGUAGUGUUGUCGUCAUGUUGUGGAGACGCUGUGUUUGGAAUGUGAAAGCAAACCUGCUUCGUUUGGAAUCAGUGUUUAAGAUUUAUUAAUAACUCUGUUCCUGAGCCGUAUGACCCAAAGGUUAGCUUCUGUACAGCACGCUUUAUGAAGCUGCAGUGCAUUUUCUCCCAGCUUCCUGUGUACAACAUAAAUACACUGUAAAUAAAAUACAAUAAACCACACCUAAAUAACUGUAUUUUAUGUUGACACUUCAGGACAUAAAGUUGUUACAGUGAAGAAGAAAAAUUAUAACUUUAUGAGUUUGUAUCUGAAAGGUAAGAGAGUUGCAAAAUAAAAGCUUUCCUUUGUGAAACGUUCAGCUCAGACUUGGACUCGGGGUCAAAUGGAUACGUGUAAGAUCAGGCUCACAUGUUUCUGUGAAGAGUGACCAGUCAAAGGAAGGUGACAUGCCGAAAUUCAGUGAGAAAAAAACAUCUAUCAAAAGUGUAAGAUCAGGAUCACAUAUGUCCAGCUCUGUGUCUGUCAAGAGUGACCGGUCAAAGGAUGGUGACGGACCAAACUUCAGUGAGAAAAAAACGUCUAUCAAAAGUCAUAGAUGGACAAAAAAGUCAAAGGAUGAACCACCGAGAUUCAGUGAAGAAACAGCAUCACGAGCCAAACGGUAUUUGAUGUUUCUUAUUUUUGUUUACACACAGACCGUGUCAGAAAGUGUAUCAGGGAAUAAUUAUCAUAAAACUUAGUCCAUAAAUUUAACACAGUAUUGUUUUUCUCUUUGCUAAAAAUGUCUACAAGAUAUUUUGGUCAUUUUUCCUAAUAAUGGAGUAUUUUGAUUUAUUUUAUUUACUAUCAGGCCAAAUUAGAUGAUUUUUGUCAUUCAUUCUUGUCUUUCUUUGUAGAAUCUUGAGAGCAAUAUAAUAAAAGCUCAUCGUUCUGAAAAGCA